rnacentral:tRNA from 1 species
GGAUGUUUAGCUCAGUUGGUAGAGCAUCUGCUUUACACGCAGAGGGUCAGGAGUUCGAGUCUCUUAACAUCCACCA